UACGUAGGGGGCAAGCGUUGUCCGGAUUUAUUGGGCGUAAAGAGCGUGUAGGCGGCUUUACAGGUCCGUUGUGAAAACUCGAGGCUCAACCUCGAGACGCCGGUGGAAACCGUAAAGCUAGAGUCCGGAAGAGGAGAGUGGAAUUCCUGGUGUAGCGGUGAAAUGCGCAGAUAUCGGGAAGAACACCCGUGGCGAAGGCGGUUCUCUGGGACGGUACUGACGCUGAGACGCGAAAGCGUGGGGAGCGAACAGG
rnacentral:rRNA from 1 species